UCUUCCUCAUUUGCUUGCUCUUCAUUUCCUCAGCCUCUCCAAUCCUCGGUUGUGGCUAUUGCGGCAAGCCAAAGCACAAGCCUAUGAAACCUACCAAACCUCCCAAAGGCCCCAUAGUCAUUCCACCCAUUCAUGUCAAGCCACCUGGCGUCAAAGUCCCUCCAGUCACAGUCCCUCCCAUUGUCAAACCACCAGUCACAAUACCACCCAUUGUCAAACCACCAGUUACAAAUCCACCAAGUCCAGGGACACCAUGCCCUCCACCUCCAGGGAAACCUAGUCCGGCUUCCAAGGACACAUGCCCCAUUGACACAUUGAAACUGGGUGCUUGUGUGGAUCUU
rnacentral:lncRNA from 1 species